UACGUAGGGGGCAAGCGUUGUCCGGAAUUAUUGGGCGUAAAGAGCGUGUAGGCGGCCCGAUAAGUCCGCUGUGAAAGUCCAGGGCUCAACCCUGGGAUGCCGGUGGAUACUGUCGGGCUCGAGUCCGGAAGAGGAGUGUGGAAUUCCUGGUGUAGCGGUGAAAUGCGCAGAUAUCAGGAGGAACACCAAUGGCGAAGGCAGCACUCUGGGACGUGACUGACGCUGAGACGCGAAAGCGUGGGGAGCAAACAGG
rnacentral:rRNA from 1 species